GACUAACCUGUCUCUUAUGGGCAUUCAAUGAAACUGAUCUCUCAGUCCAAAAGCUAAGAUACUUACACCAGACGAGAAGACCCUGUGGAGCUUCCAAACCAAUACCAAUACCCAUGGUUAUACGGUUUUUAGUUGGGGCGACUUCGGAGAACAAAAAAACCUCCAACUAGGAAAUCCUCCUAAUUAAGAUUUACACAUCUAAAUAUUUACUUGACCCAGUAGGCAUUUCCCCAUCUGAUCAAGGAACCAAGUUACCCCAGGGAUAACAGCGCCAUCCUCUUUUAGAGUCCCCAUCGACAAGAGGGUUUACGACCUCGAUGU
rnacentral:rRNA from 1 species